rnacentral:rRNA from 1 species
GAUGAACGCUAGCGACAGGCCUAACACAUGCAAGUCGAGGGGCAGCACAUGAGUAGCAAUACGAUGGUGGCGACCGGCGCACGGGUGAGUAACACGUAUGCAACCUGCCUGUAAGAGGGGAAUAACCCGGAGAAAUUCGGACUAAUACCGCAUAAUACCACGAGACUGCAUGGUUUUGUGGUUAAACAUUUAUGGCUUACAGAUGGGCAUGCGUAUGAUUAGAUAGUUGGUAGGGUAACGGCCUACCAAGUCUACGACCAUUAGGGGUUCUGAGAGGAAGGUCCCCCACACUGGUACUGAGACACGGACCAGACUCCUACGGGAGGCAGCAGUGAGGAAUAUUGGUCAAUGGGCGAGAGCCUGAACCAGCCAAGUCGCGUGAAGGGAGAAGGUUCUAUGGAUUGUAAACUUCUUUUGCAGGGGAAUAAAGGACGGUACGUGUACUGUUUUGUAUGUACCUUGCGAAUAAGGAUCGGCUAACUCCGUGCCAGCCGCCGCGGUAAGAC